GGCUCGUUAGCUUAGUUGGUUAGAGCUCCACACUCCAUAAAUGUCUAGUGGCGGUCGUAGGUUCAAAUCCUACACGAGCCU